rnacentral:rRNA from 1 species
AUUGAACGCUGGCGGCGGGCUUAACACAUGCAAGUCGAACGAGCGGCGGACGGGUGAGUAAUGUCUGGGAAACUGCCUGCUGGAGGGGGAUAACUACUGGAAACGGUAGCUAAUACCGCAUAACAUCCGAUGUGCCCAGAUGGGAUUAGCUAGUAGGUGGGGUAAUGGCUCACCUAGGCCACGAUCCCGUGGUGGUCUGAGAGGAUGACCAGCCACACUUGAACUGAGACACGGUCCAGACUCCUACGGGAGGCAGCAGUGGGGAAUAUUGCACAAUGGGCGCAAGCCUGAUGCAGCCAUGCCGCGUGUGUGAAGAAGGCUUUCGGUUUGUAAAGCACUUUCAGCGAGGAGGCGUUACCUGCAGAAGAAGCACCGGCUAACUCCGUGCCAGCAGCCGCGGUAAUUC